UACGUAGGGGGCAAGCGUUGUCCGGAAUCAUUGGGCGUAAAGCGCGUGUAGGCGGUUCGGUAAGUCUGCUGUGAAAGCCCAGGGCUCAACCCUGGGAUGCCGGUGGAUACUGUCGGGCUAGAGUACGGAAGAGGCGAGUGGAAUUCCCGGUGUAGCGGUGAAAUGCGCAGAUAUCGGGAGGAACACCAAUUGCGAAGGCAGCUCGCUGGGACGUUACUGACGCUGAGACGCGAAAGCGUGGGGAGCAAACAGG
rnacentral:rRNA from 1 species